rnacentral:tRNA from 1 species
GCCCUCGUAGUUUAAUGGACAGAACACGGGAUUGCGGAUCCCGGAAUAGGGGUUCGAUUCCUCUCGGGGGCACCA